rnacentral:rRNA from 1 species
AGUGAACGCUGGCGGUAGGCCUAACACAUGCAAGUCGAACGGCAGCACAGUAAGAGCUUGCUCGUACGGGUGGCGAGUGGCGGACGGGUGAGGAAUACAUCGGAAUCUACUUUUUCGUGGGGGAUAACGUAGGGAAACGUACGCUAAUACCGCAUACGACCUACGGGUGAAAGCAGGGGAUCUUCGGACCUUGCGCGAUUGAAUGAGCCGAUGUCGGAUUAGCUAGUUGGCGGGGUAAAGGCCCACCAAGGCGACGAUCCGUAGCUGGUCUGAGAGGAUGAUCAGCCACACUGGAACUGAGACACGGUCCAGACUCCUACGGGAGGCAGCAGUGGGGAAUAUUGGACAAUGGGCGCAAGCCUGAUCCAGCCAUACCGCGUGGGUGAAGAAGGCCUUCGGGUUGUAGAGCCCUUUUGUUGGGAAAGAAAAGCAGCAGGUUAAUACCCCGCUGUUCUGACGGUACCCAAAGAAUAAGCACCGGCUAACUACGUG